GGGAAUUCGAGUCACUCCAACCCCUGUGACAUACCUAUACGUUGCCUCGGCGGAUCAGCCCGCGCCCCGUAAAAAGGGACGGCCCGCCCGAGGACCCCUAAACUCUGUUUUUAGUGGAACUUCUGAGUAAAACAAACAAAUAAAUCAAAACUUUCAACAACGGAUCUCUUGGUUCUGGCAUCGAUGAAGAACGCAGCAAAAUGCGAUAAGUAAUGUGAAUUGCAGAAUUCAGUGAAUCAUCGAAUCUUUGAACGCACAUUGCGCCCGCCAGUAUUCUGGCGGGCAUGCCUGUUCGAGCGUCAUUUCAACCCUCAAGCUCAGCUUGGUGUUGGGACUCGCGGUAACCCGCGUUCCCCAAAUCGAUUGGCGGUCACGUCGAGCUUCCAUAGCGUAGUAAUCAUACACCUCGUUACUGGUAAUCGUCGCGGCCACGCCGUAAAACCCCAACUUCUGAAUGUUGACCUCGGAUCAGGUAGGAAUACCCGCUGAACUUAAGCAUAUCAAAACCCGGGAGGAAA
rnacentral:rRNA from 1 species